rnacentral:rRNA from 1 species
AUUGAACGCUGGCGGCAUGCCUUACACAUGCAAGUCGAACGGCAGCGGGGGAGAAGCUUGCUUUUCCUGCCAGCGAGUGGCGAACGGGUGAGUAAUACAUCGGAACGUGCCCUGUAGUGGGGGAUAAAUAGUCGAAAGAUUAGCUAAUACCGCAUACGACCUGAGGGUGAAAGUGGGGGACCGCAAGGCCUCAUGCUAUAGGAGCGGCCGAUGUCUGAUUAGCUAGUUGGUGGGGUAAAGGCCUACCAAGGCGACGAUCAGUAGCUGGUCUGAGAGGACGAUCGGCCACACUGGGACUGGGACACGGCCCAGACUCCUACGGGAGGCAGCAGUGGGGAAUUUUGGACAAUGGGCGAAAGCCUGAUCCAGCAAUGCCGCGUGUGUGAAGAAGGCCUUCGGGUUGUAAAGCACUUUUGUCCGGAAAGAAAUGGCUCUGGUUAAUACCUGGGGUCGAUGACGGUACCGGAAGAAUAAGGACCGGCUAACUACGUGCCAGCCGCCGCGGUAAAAC